UCUCUUGUUAGAUUAGGUCGUCGUCAAUUAUGUGAUUUACAGUUUGAUGACGGUGAUAGUGAUGAUAAUGUGCAUUCACAAAUCUUAAUGAAACUUUUAAUACAGUUAGCUUGCAUGGAGACCUAGAUUGGGAUUGUAUUUGGGGCCAGGAGGUCAAGGUUCCUGUUACUAAAAAUAGAAAACCUGUUUCUGCUGAAUAAGUUGAUUGAAUCUUGAUUUUUAACCAGGUUUUCCGAAGGAAAAAACUGGUUAUUAGAUUGGCGAAUGCGGGCGGGCUGGCUGGCUGGCUGGCGGGCUGGCUGGCUGGCGGGCUGGCGGAAUAAGCUUGUCCGGGCCAUAACUAUGUCGUUCAUUGUCAGAUUUUAAAAUCAUUUGGCACAUUUGUUCACCAUCAUUGGACGGUGUGUCGCGCGAAAUAAUUACGUCGCUAUCUCCAAGGUCAAGGUCACACUUUGAGUUCAAAGGUCAAAAAUGGCCAUAAAUGAGCUUGUCCUGGCCAUAACUAUGUCAUUCAUUGUGAGAUUUUAAAAUCAUUUGGCACAUUUGUUCACCAUCAUGGGACGGUGUGUCCCACGAAAGAAUCACGUCAAUAUCUCCAAUGUCAAGGUCGCCACGACUAAAAAUAGAUUUAAAAAAAAAAAAAAAUUACAAAGGGGGUUAAUUUUUUUUGGUCAUUUCAAAAGUU